rnacentral:rRNA from 1 species
AUACGGAGGACGCGAGCGUUAUCCGGAUUCAUUGGGUUUAAAGGGUGCGCAGGCGGCCGUGCAAGUCAGCGGUGAAAGCCCGGGGCCCAACCCCGGAAGUGCCGUUGAUACUGCAUGGCUUGAAUGCGGUCGAGGCGGGCGGGAAGGGUCGGGUAGGGGGGAAAUGCGUAGAUAUGCCACAGAACGCCGAUAGCGGAGGCAGCUCGCCAGGCCUGCAUUGACGCUCGGGCACGAAAGCGUGGGGAUCGAACAGGAUUAGAUACCCUGGUAGUCCACGCCGUAAACGAUGGGCGCUCGUCGUCGGCGGCAGACAGUCGGCGGCCAAGCGAAAGCGAUAAGCGCCCCACCUGGGGAGUACGGUCGCAAGGCUGAAACUCAAAGGAAUUGGCGGGG